rnacentral:rRNA from 1 species
UACGUAGGGUGCAAGCGUUGUCCGGAAUUAUUGGGCGUAAAGAGCUCGUAGGUGGUUUGCUGCGUCCGCUGUGAAAACCCAAGGCUUAACCUUGGGCUUGCAGUGGAUACGGGCAGACUAGAGGUAGGUAGGGGAGAAUGGAAUUCCCGGUGUAGCGGUGAAAUGCGCAGAUAUCAGGAGGAACACCGAUGGCGAAGGCAGGUCUCUGGGCCACUACUGACGCUGAGAAGCGAAAGCGUGGGUAGCAAACAGG